CUGGUGAUCUUCUGCUCUAAGCGGUGCACUUCAUAUGCUGCUCCUGCAGCUCCUGUGUGGUGUUGCUUUGAUUUUAUUGACUUUCAAAUUCCAUCCAAAA